rnacentral:misc_RNA from 1 species
GAUGAAGAACGUAGCGAAAUGCGAUAAGUAAUGCGAAUUGCAGAAUUCCAGUGAGUCAUCGAAUCUUUGAACGCACAUUGCGCCCUUUGGUAUUCCGAAGGGCAUGCCUGUUCGAGCGUCAUUAUCACCCCUCAAGCCCUCGGCUUGGUGUUGGACGGUUUGGUGGAGGCCCCCUCGGGGGCUCCUGCCCCUCCCAAAGACAAUGACGGCGGCCUCGUUGGACCCCCGGUACACUGAGUUCUUCACGGGACACGUAUCGGACACAUGGGUUUACGGGACACGGUCUGCCUCCCCUCAGGGAGAAUCUUUCUAAGGUUGACCUCGGAUCAGGUAGGGAUACCCGCUGAACUUAAGCAUAUCAAUAAGCCGGAGGA